AAAACAUGCCGGGCCCACAGUUUCAGAUAAACCGUUCUCAUCAAUACCAUACCAUGUACGGUCGGCUAGUUACACUUCAUCACGAAGGACAAUCACAUCUGGAUGACGGAAUGCUGCCAAAACGAUGAAGCUGGCUGAGUCCUCGAUGACGACGCAACUCCUGCACGUUCGUCGUCAUACUAUCUUUUCAACUGGAGGCAUGUUUGUUUAGGCGGCUACAACAAAUUGUUUGAACAUGUUCAAUGAAACAAAAAUGUUGUUUUGGCUUCUCACAAUUACUGGUGAAUGCUGGAAAUCUCCGUGAUAGCCGUUUUCGUGUGCUGAAUUAGGUUUGUAUGAAAAAUAGUGUAUUUUUAGAAUAUUUAAUUAUCAAUAAAAUAACGGUCGAUUUGAAAA